NAACUUAACUAGGAGGGAAGCAUCAUGUAUUUGAUUUUNAAUAGCAUAGUCACAUACUCUAAAGAACUAAAGGUCGAGUUUGUCAGUUUAGUUUAUAGCAUAUUCUGUUUUGGAAAAGGGAAAAAUAAAGUUUUAAAUAAAGCANACACUAUAAUGAUAACGAUCGAACGAUUGCACGAGAACAAUGACAAUCACUUAACAAGUGAAUGAGAACAAUGCUAAUCAAACAAGGAGUGAACGAGGAAGAAGAAGGAGAACAAAUGAAUGAAAACGAGAAAAAAAUAAUAGAAAUGAUCGAACGAGUGCACGAAAACAAUGGCAAGCACGGAACGAGUGAAUGAGAGCAAUGGCAAUCAUGGAAUGAUUGAACGAGAACUAUAUCAUCCAGAGUACGAGUGAACGAAGAUGAAAAAGAAGGAAA
rnacentral:lncRNA from 1 species